CACGCAGGCGGUCUUGCCAGUCAGGGGUGAAAGCCCGGGGCUCAACCCCGGAGCUGCCUCUGAUACUGCAAGACUAGAGACUAGGAGAGGGUGGUGGAAUUCCCAGUGUAGAGGUGAAAUUCGUAGAUAUUGGGAGGAACACCAGAGGCGAAGGCGGCCACCUGGACUAGAUCUGACGCUCAGGUGCGAAAGCGUGGGGAGCAAACA
rnacentral:rRNA from 1 species